CAGAUGCGUAGGCCGUCGUGUCGGAGACGGGGCUCACAGCCGGCGCCGUGAAGGUGAGAAAGCAGAGCCGUGGCUCGGGAUGGUUCUGUGUCCCUGAUCGGUGGCUCAGGAACCCUGCUUUCCGGCAGGCAGCGGUAUAGGCGGAAGUAAAUAACAAGGCGGAGCUGCCUCCCACCUCUGGAUAAGGACUGUUGAAUCGCCAUUGUCGCCUGUGCAGAUCUGCGGUGGAGCGAAACCAGGCGGCGCUUUGUCGGGAUGGUGUUCUUGCAGCAAACCGAUUAGGAGCACUGCGGUGAUGGAAGAAGUGAACGACAGCCAGCUUCCGAUGGAGCCGCUUCACUACCCGGCGAUGGCGACUGAAGCUGAGCAGCUCCCGCCCAUGGCGACUGGUAGCGUUCAGGGGCAGAUCUGUGCGGCCGAGGGGGGAGCCAUAGGCGACGGGGAAGCCGAGCCGCAGGCAUCUGAACAAUCAAUUGGACAGAUUGAUCCUGAGACUCCAGGCUGGACUCGCAGGGUUAGAAUUGGAGCAGCUGCACCCGGAAGGGCACCUUGCCGUGGGCGAAUCAGCGCCCUUGAGAAGGCGAUACGGGGGUUUGCUGAUCAACCAGGGGACAUGGUAAUUGUCCCAGCACUUGGUACAAGCUUCGAUACACUCGAGGAGGCAUAUGACUUUUACAAUCUCUACUCGCGGGAGAAGGGUUUUGGAAUGUGGGGAGUACAAAGUGCAAGCAAGAAAUUGUUUGUGGCUGU